AGUGAACGCUGCGGCGUGCUAAUACAUGCAAGUCGAACGGAAUUUAAAAGAGCUUGCUCUUUUGAAUUUAGUGGCGCACGGGUGAGUAAUAUAUAGCUAAUCUGCCCCUUGCUGGAGGACAACAGCUAGAAAUGACUGCUAAUACUCCAUACUCCUUUUUACCAUAAGAUAAAUCGGGAAAGAAUUUCGGCAAGGGAUGAGACUAUAUCGUAUCAGCUAGUCGGUGGGGUAACGGCCUACCGAGGCUAUGACGCGCAACUGGUCUGAGAGGAUGAUCAGUCACAUUGGAACUGAGACACGGUCCAAACUCCUACGGGAGGCAGCAGUAGGGAAUAUUGCGCAAUGGGGGAAACCCUGACGCAGCAACGCCGCGUGGAGGAUGACACUUUUCGGAGCGUAAACUCCUUUUGUUAGGGAAGAAUAAUGACGGUACCUAACGAAUAAGCACCGGCUAA
rnacentral:rRNA from 1 species